rnacentral:rRNA from 1 species
GACGAACGCUGGCGGCGUGCCUAAUACAUGCAAGUCGAGCGGACGAAUCGAAAGCUUGCUUUUGAUUCGUUAGCGGCGGACGGGUGAGUAACACGUGGGCAACCUGCCCUGUAGACGGGGAUAACACCGAGAAAUCGGUGCUAAUACCGGAUAACACGAAAUGUCGCAUGACGUUUCGUUGAAAGACGGCGCAAGCUGCCGCUACAGGAUGGGCCCGCGGCGCAUUAGCUAGUUGGUGAGGUAACGGCUCACCAAGGCGACGAUACGUAGCCGACCUGAGAGGGUGAUCGGCCACACUGGGAGUGAGACACGGCCCAGACUCCUACGGGAGGAAGCAGUAGGGAAUCUUCCGCAAUGGACGAAAGUCUGACGGAGCAACGCCGCGUGAGCGAAGAAGGCCUUCGGGUCGUAAAGCUCUGUUGUUAGGGAAGAACAAGUAACGCAGUAACUGGCGUUACCGUGACGGUACCUAACGAGAAAGCCACGGCUAACUACGUG